rnacentral:rRNA from 1 species
AUGGCCGCUGCUAAGCCAGCCUGCUCCGUUCCCGCCAAUUCCGCCGACGCAGCCAAACCGGCGGCGGCGCCAGAGCCCGAGCAGCAGCUCCUGGAGGUGGCGGCGGAGGAGGUGGUCGUCGACUUCAAGCCCAAUUCCAAGUGCCGCGUCGACCUCCGCCUCCGCUCGCUGCACCCGACGCUCCCCGUCGCCUUCAAGGUGCAGACCUCCUCCCCGCUCAAGUUCCUCGUCAGCCCGCCGCGCGGCGCCCUGAAGCCGCUCUCCACGGCAACCAUCCGCGUCGUGCUCCGCCCGCAGCCGCACGCGCCGCCGUCCUUUCCGCGCUCACGCGCCGACCGCUUCCUCGUCCUCUCCUCCCUCUCCGCCGCGCACCUCGACUCCGCGGCCUCCGUGCCCGGCGGCGCCGGCGUCGGCGUCGGCGCCAUCCGCCUUCGCGUGUUCUUCGGCGGGCCCUACCUCCUCCGCCUCGCCGCGGACGCCGGGGACUCCGCGGCCGUGCGCCUAAUCCUGCGCCGGCAGCCGCACCUUCUGCCGGUCCUCGACCCCGAGGCGGCGGUGCCGGACGCCGAGCCGUGGGCGCCGCUGCACGCGGCUGCUGCGCGCGGCGACUGCGGAGAGGUGAGGAGGCUGGGGCAGGAGGCGCUCGCGGCGCGCGACAAGGACGGCAGGACGGCUCUGCACGUCGCGGCUGCGGCCGGGGAAGCAGAGGCCGUGGCAGAGCUGGUGGACAUGGGCGCCGACUCCGCGGCGGCCGACGCGCGCGGGAGGACUCCGCUGGACGUUGCGCGAGAGAAGGGCUACGAAGUGGUGGACGUGCUGCAGCGGUGGGAGCUGGUGAUGACGGCGGCGAGGCGAGGCGACCUCCGGAGCCUGGAGUUCCUCCUCAGCAAGCGCACGGGCCUCCGCGGCCGCGACCAGUACGGGCUGACGGCGCUCCACGUGGCCGCCAUCAAGGGCCACUGCGACGCCAUCGCCCUGCUGGCGGGGUCGGGGUGCAUGGACGUGGAGUGCGAGGACGUGGAAGGGCACCGGCCGCUGCACCUCGCCGUCGAGGGCGGCUGCGCCGACGCCGUGGACCUGCUGCUCGACAUGGGCGCCGACGUCCACGCCAGGACCAAGCGGGGCGCCACGCCGCUCCAGAUGGCCGACACCAUGGGGUACGACGACAUCUCGCAGCUGCUGCGCGGCCGGGGCGCCGACGAGGCGGCGGCGGCAGCGACAGCUGACGCGCAGCUGUGCAUCGCGUCGUCGUCCUCCUCGUCGAUAUCCUGUGCAUAA